CCUAGAGAGGUACUUGGUUCGAUACCUAAACCUCUGCUACUUGACCCCCCAGUGCCUGAUAUAGAGGAGGAGACCCCUUGCAAUCUUUUACUUCCCAAAUCAGCAGAUGGUGAGUUGGUUGUGGUUGCCUAUGGUCGGGCACAACCACCGAGAGAGGGCCAGACAUCACAUUUGCUGCCGGUAGCAGGUCCUUAUUUUAGUGUGUCCGUAGACACCAUUAUAUGUGGAUUUGAAGAUUUCUCAUUGCCGGUCCCUAGGCCAGAGUGGAGCGUCACUGUUCUGAACGACGCGCAAGGUAGUUUUGUGAUAUGGCCAUGUGCUUGGGUGCGAUUUUCAGAUAAGGCUUUGAAGAAAAAAACAGAAUCGGCCAAAAAAUGAAGAAUUUGGAUGCGGACAAAGAGAGUUCGCAAGACAACCGAUCAAAAGAGAAUGAGGUGGACUCAAAAGCUAACAAUAACAAGGCGGAUUCACAACCUAAGAGUGUAGUUGUAGGUAAGAUUUCAUCUAAGGGCUCAUCUCCUGAUGUGAAUCCAAAAGGAACUCCACUUGUG